GCUGGCGGCAUGCUUAACACAUGCAAGUCGCACGGGCAGCAAUGUCAGUGGCGGACGGGUGAGUACCGCGUAGGAAUGUGUCCAGAGGUGGGGGACAACCUUGGGAAACUGAGGCUAAUACCGCAUAUGAGCUGAGGCUCAAAGCAGCGAUGCGCCUUUGGAGUAGCCUGCGUCCGAUUAGCUAGUUGGUGGGGUAAAGGCCUACCAAGGCGACGAUCGGUAGCUGGUCUGAGAGGACGACCAGCCACACUGGGACUGAGACACGGCCCAGACUCCUACGGGAGGCAGCAGUGGGGAAUAUUGGACAAUGGGCGCAAGCCUGAUCCAGCAAUGCCGCGUGUGUGAAGAAGGUCUUCGGAUCGUAAAGCACUUUCGACGGGGACGAUGAUGACGGUACCCGUAGAAGAAGCCCCGGCUAACUUCGUGCCAGCAGCCGCGGUAAUACGAAGGGGGCUAGCGUUACUCGGAAUUACUGGGCGUAAAGGGCGCGUAGGCGGCGCUCCAAGUUAGGCGUGAAAGUCCUGGGCUCAACCUGGGAACUGCGCUUAAGACUGGAGUGCUUGAGGAUGGAAGA
rnacentral:rRNA from 1 species